UUACGGCCGAAACUCUGCGAUAGCAGGUGCGGGGGACGAUUUAUGCAAGCAUUGGCGUUAAAGUUCGCACAGGGCUGCUUGCUAGGGGUGAAGCGCAUGGAUUUAAAUCUGCGCCGGGAGCUAUCCUUUUUCCCGAAUCCGACAACUAACUCCGCAGGCACUUAAAGGAGGAA
rnacentral:sRNA from 1 species